rnacentral:rRNA from 1 species
UACGUAGGGGGGCGAGCGUUGUCCGGAUUUAUUGGGCGUAAAGAGCGUGUAGGCGGCCAGGUAGGUCUGCUGUGAAAACUCGAGGCUCAACCUCGAGACGUCGGCGGAAACCAUCUGGCUAGAGUCCGGAAGAGGAGAGUGGAAUUCCUGGUGUAGCGGUGAAAUGCGCAGAUAUCAGGAAGAACACCCGUGGCGAAGGCGGCUCUCUGGGACGGUACCGAGCUGAGACGCGAAAAGCGUGGGGGAGCGAACAGG